GACGAACGCUGGCGGCGUGCUUAACACAUGCAAGUCGAACGGAAAGGCCCUGCUUUCGUGGGGUGCUCGAGUGGCGAACGGGUGAGUAACACGUGAGUAACCUGCCCUUGACUUUGGGAUAACUUCAGGAAACUGGGGCUAAUACCGGAUAGGAGCUCCUGCUGCAUGGUGGGGGUUGGAAAGUUUCGGCGGGUGGGGAUGGACUCGCGGCUUAUCAGCUUGUUGGUGGGGUAGUGGCUUACCAAGGCUUUGACGGGUAGCCGGCCUGAGAGGGUGACCGGCCACAUUGGGACUGAGGUACGGCCCAGACUCCUACGGGAGGCAGCAGUGGGGAAUAUUGCACAAUGGGCGGAAGCCUGAUGCAGCAACGCCGCGUGCGGGAUGACGGCCUUCGGGGUGUAAACCGCUUUCGCCUGUGACGAAGCGUGAGUGACGGUAAUGGGUAAAGAAGCACCGGCUAACUACGUG
rnacentral:rRNA from 1 species